UACGUAGGGGGCUAGCGUUGUCCGGAAUCGAUUGGGCGUAAAGAGCGUGUAGGCGGUCCGGUAAGUCCGUUGUGAAAGUCAAGGGCUCAACCCUUGAAUGCCGGCGGAUACUGUCGGGCUAGAGUCCGGAAGAGGCAAGUGGAAUUCCUGGUGUAGCGGUGAAAUGCGCAGAUAUCAGGAAGAACACCCGUGGCGAAGGCGGCUCUCUGGGACGGUACUGACGCUGAGACGCGAAAGCGUGGGGAGCGAACAGG
rnacentral:rRNA from 1 species